rnacentral:tmRNA from 1 species
GGGGGUGUUCUGGCUUCGACGGGGGUUGCAAAGUUGUCUGGCGCAUGCCGAGGGGGCGACUGUCCUCGUUAAUCCAGUAGCAAAACUCUAGUUGCCAACGACGACAACUACGCUCUGGCCGCUUAAGGCCUAGCCCCGAACCCGCUUGUGUCCGUGCUCGCCGGUGUAGGGUCAUUAUCACGGAACCGUUUCGGAUGGCGACCCGUCAGUCCGGGAUUAAAUAAAGCGGGUAUGUCUGCAGGUGUGCUUCGUACGUUGUGUUGCCUGCCGACGAGAUCGAACAACGGACUAAGCAUGUAGUGCCGGGAAUGGCGCGCUUUCGGACGGGGGUUCAACUCCCCCCACCUCCACCA